UUUCUCAGCGGGGCCCAGGGUGGCUCUGUUUGUUCCCUGUUUGGAAAGCUCUCCCAGGAAAAAGCGUUACUGCCACCUGCUAUAGGUGACUGAGAAGUGGGCCUAGGGCACCUUCAGACUCAACCCCAAUGAUUAGGACAUCCACACAGCCAGCAAGCACCACCUGAAGGGUCUUGCUCUGUCACCUAGUCUGGAGUGCAGUGGUGGGAUCUCUCCUACCUGCAAACUUUGCCUCCCUGGGUCAAGUGAUUCUCCUACCUCAGCCUCCCAAGUAGCUGGGAUUACAGAUAGAGUUUUGCUCUUGUCACCCAGGCUGAAGUGCAAUGGCACUCGGCUCAGUGCAACCUCUGCCUCCCAGAUUCAAGCAAUUCUCCUGCCUCAGUCUCCACAGUAGCUGGAACUACAGGUAUGUGCCACACCCAGCUAAUUUUUGUAUUUUUUAGUAGAGACAGGGUAUUACCAUGUGGCCAGGAUG
rnacentral:lncRNA from 13 species